CUCAGGAUCAACCGGGCCGCGCGGGCGCCGUCGAACGUCAAAAGCUCGCUCAUUAAUUAAUCCGCGGCCACCUCGCGCUCGCGAUUGUGCGUGCAUGCGCGAUUGCUGCCCCGAUUGCCGCGUGGAGGAAUUAAAAAGUUGCGGUUGGAUGACAAAUUUCCGUCGAAUCUUCACUACCGAAGGGGAGAAGAUCGACGCUGCACGCGCAUUCGCGUGCAUGAGACGAAGAGCAUCGGGAGAUCGGAGCAUCGAAAGCUCUCUUGCGAGAGCGCAGCAACGAAAAACGAGACCGAAGCGGCGAGGAAAGACGUUCGACGAGGAGGCGAAAGGGACGAGCGGGGACAAGAGUUAGAUUGGCGAGGGUAAAAGAAAGACACGACGACCGGGAAGACGGAGGAGACGUGCAGCCGCGUUGGCAUGAGAACGAAGCUUAAGCUCGGGUGUGUUUGCCGUCUCGUGGCGAGCUGGCAGGCACUGGCGUGGCAAGACGUGGCGAGGCGGGGCAAGAAAGCAUCGAUACACUAGCUGCGGCGACAAAAUGGCGGAGAGGAUGGCAAUAUUGGCGCAGAGCGAAAAAUUGGCAUGCCUGCACUAUAGCGUCGGUAUCCUAAAUAUGGUUCGCGCGCGCGCUAUACAUCCGCACGCCCACGUUAAACAUUCAUCCGUUGCGGUCCGCCGCGGCGGUGUUGCGGAUGGAACCUACGAAAAAAAAAAAAAAGGUAGAAUCGUGCCGUUCUCGUGCGCUACUUCGAGGUAGAGAAAAUGGAAAUGCGGACGGACAGGAUCCCGGGUGUUUCCUUUGGCUGAUCGCCAAAUUUACCGUGUUUCGAUCUUAUCCCUUCUUCUUCCCUUUCUUUGUACGUGGCUGCUGAGAAAUUUACGUAUGAUAAAUGUGGCCGAUAAACAAACGAAAACCAAACGUAUGACUUGAAGGACGAAAAAUUCGCGUUUGUUAUAAUUAAACAUUAUUAAAAACCGCGCAUAACGUGACAGCUAUAUUGCAUUAUAUUUAUAGAGAUAACUGACCUCAUUGUUUAUAAACAUCUAUCGGGUGCAUUAAAAAUAAAAGUGUUGUCACAGAUGCAAAUUCUUUCCGAGGAUGAAAACUUUAUCACGGCAUCUUAUAUGAGACACAUUUUCUUAAAGACUCGUGUCAUAUAUUAUUUACGAUGAUCAUACAAUUUCCGGCUGCCAGAGCUGUCUGUCCUUUGUCGCAUCCGCGAUAAUCGCGCGAUAAUUUGAGUUCUUCGUUCGCAUUCGCGUUUAUUCGAUCGAUUCACUCUUUUGUUCCCGUGCUUAACUCGCGAUUGCCUCGAGUUCGACCUACUGAAAAUAACAAUGAAAACGAGAGUUGUUCCGCCUAAAUUCGAACGAUGUUGAUUAUGAUCAGAUAGAGUGGAAAUACGGCGCUGAUUAGGUCAACCCAAAUGCUAAUUAUCAUUAACUUUGCUCAUUAUCAUUAACAAAUAAAUUAUUCCUUGAUGAAAACUACUAAACUCAUCAAAAUAUUCGACCUAUCGAAUAAGUACGGUUGUCGGAAUUUUAAACGUUUUUAAAUUUUGAAUGCGCAUCAUACUAUUCUUGUGUAAAAAAUUAAUGGUUCUCUCGCUAUCAAGAGA